UUGCACUCUAAGGUUUAAGCUUGAAUUCCUCCAGGGAAUGCAUGAACUGAUUAAAAAGUGUUUACCCUCAAUGCAAUGCAGUCGCUUUGGAUAAAAGGACCUGCCAAAUGCAUAAAUGUAAAGUAAGUCAGCCAGCAAACUUUAGCCUUUAAGACAAGAAAAUAUUUUACUAUGAUUCUCAUGAAUAUUAUUUAGGGACACUUUUAAAAGUGCCUUGAAAAUGUUCUAGUGGGAAUAAUUGACCCUUGCUCUUUGGGUGGGUGGUGAUAAAAUUGUCCUUGAAGCAGAAAGUACCCAUUUACGCUCCCAAUCUUGUCAUAAAGAGUUUAAGGUUGCUGCUAUUCUCAUUUCUGGCACAUAGGAAUCGCAUGGACAUAUUGCAGCUCAGGGAAAAUCCACCCUGUGGAGAACAGUGACAGCCCAAGGACAUGUUCUGAAGGCCUUCAGACAAUUUGGAGAGGGAAAAAAAGUGCUAAAACCAUUGUAAACUCAUCAAACCAGUUUGCCGUGUACAUUGGUAUUGAUUUUCAGGAAAUGGCCUUACUUCUGUUGGCCAGGCAAGGAUCUUACUGUGAGAAUAAUGUGAACCUAACCAGAGGAUUUGCUCAAGCAUUUACCCAAACAAAGUCGAUGAGCCGUCUGUAAAUCAGUGGCUCUUUGGCUUGAGCUCUCUGACCACCAGCCGCAUCCAGUAGACUCAGUUACCAAUGUAGAGACACAAAAAUGGUAGCUGGCCUGACAAUAAAUCAGACCGUGUUGAGUUUCCAGCUAGUCCUUCACUAAAUGAGUUUAUCAGUAUUUUAAAAUUAGUGAGGGGUCAUGCGAACGAUCUUCUGGUAUUUUGUGAAAUGUACCAUAUAAGGUUUAUCAGUCUUUUAGCAAAUUCAGAUUUAGGCAAUGCUGAUUUGUGAACGGACAAAAAAAAAAAGACUGUUAAAAAUAGAGAAGGAACACAUUUCUCUGUAGCAAUUAUGUGUCAUGGUCUUUUACCCCCGCAUUCCAGCUGUUGCCAUUAAAAAAAUAAUUACCAUUAGUUUACCACCAUUUGUUGCAGCUCUCCAGAGAGGAGCCAUGAAAAACAUCAGUAGAAGAACAUCUCAGGGUGACAUCCCUGUGGACCCUAGACCAUAAAGAGACCCCCG
rnacentral:lncRNA from 1 species